AUAAUGGGUCAGCGACUUAUAUUCUGUAGCAAGGUUAACCGAAUAGGGGAGCCGGAGGGAAACCGAGUCUUAACUGGGCGUUAAGUUGCAGGGUAUAGACCCGAAACCCGGUGAUCUAGCCAUGGGCAGGUUGAAGGUUGGGUAACACUAACUGGAGGACCGAACCGACUAAUGUUGAAAAAUUAGCGGAUGACUUGUGGCUGGGGGUGAAAGGCCAAUCAAACCGGGAGAUAGCUGGUUCUCCCCGAAAGCUAUUUAGGUAGCGCCUCGUGAAUUCAUCUCCGGGGGUAGAGCACUGUUUCGGCAAGGGGGUCAUCCCGACUUACCAACCCGAUGCAAACUGCGAAUACCGGAGAAUGUUAUCACGGGAGACACACGGCGGGUGCUAACGUCCGUCGUGAAGAGGGAAACAACCCAGACCGCCAGCUAAGGUCCCAAAGUCAUGGUUAAGUGGGAAACGAUGUGGGAAGGCCCAGACAGCCAGGAUGUUGGCUUAGAAGCAGCCAUCAUUUAAAGAAAGCGUAAUAGCUCACUGGUCGAGUCGGCCUGCGCGGAAGAUGUAACGGGGCUAAACCAUG
rnacentral:rRNA from 1 species